rnacentral:lncRNA from 1 species
GUGCUUGCAGUCUGCAUAUGCAUGCAUGAGGGCAUGCGAGGUGACACCCGCCGCUGGUCAGGGCUGUGGUGGUGACAGAGCCCCUCUGUGAAGUCCUGCCUGUGUCACGUGCGUUACAGCCAGACUGUGGUUCCAGUGUGUAUGCCGGGCAGGAGGGGAGGGGGAUAAAGGGGCCAUUGUAUUACAUUCCAGAUUCAAGCCCUCCUCUCUGCUGACAUCACAGCUGCCUAAAUACAGCUGUUCAGAGCUGCUCCCCGAGACCCACUGCCCGCACACGUGGAGGCACCUCGGCCCUUUCUGCCUGCUGCUCCAUGGACUCACUUUUGCUUUUCGGUGUGAGAGCUGAGAGAUGUCUGUGGACCAGGAGGCAAAACCCUGGAAGGAGGAAGGCUUUUGUCUUGGAGGAUGAUCUGGCCCUUACACUCACGGAGAAUCCAGUGCUUUGCAGGGGAUGUGCAUGGCAAGGCCUGGAGGGAGGAGUCCAUCUGCAGCAUAUCUCAGUUUGGAAGCCACAUUUCAAGUGUUCGGGGGCCACAGGUGGCCAGCAGCUGCCUUAGCAGACAGAGCGGGAUUGGACAGACAACAGGUCAGAGCCUAGGAGCAGGUGAAUUUCAGGCUCCUUCCCAAUUCACUGCUUGAACUCUUAGUAGAAUGGAAAUUGAGCCUUUUCGGUUCUUAGGGGACAAGGAGACCUCACAGACCUCUGGUUCUGGGGUGAUCAUGUGAGUACUUGUUUGUAAUAAAGUUUUCAUUCUUGGGAGCUGCCA